CAGGCACUGGCUAAGUGUUACAGAACAGAACUGUUCACCACGCAAAGACCCAAGUGCAACAAGGGAUAAAGAAGACCUCACAAGUUUUACGAUCCUGCCAGACUCCUCCCAAGCUUGCUGUAGCUUCCAGGUGAUUCCAGCAGGACAAGCACCACAACCAUUUUCAGGCUCAGACAAAGUGGUCUCUGCAGUUUCUCAGUCUGUGAUCUAAAGAGUAUAGGGGGAAGUCAACCAGGAAAAAGAUCAUGAGCCUGAGAUGGAGAUUACAAAUUAUCACUGGAAGCAGAGGGAUUGGGAGUCUUCAUCCCUCCUGAGCAUCUCCAACCGAGAAAGGUGACUUCUUACCUUGCAGUUCCUGUCAUCGAUGCUGGUUUCCUCAAACUCUUCCC